AUACGUAGGUGGCGAGCGUUAUCCGGAAUUAUUGGGCGUAAAGGGUGCGCAGUCGGCUAAUUAAGUUUGUGGUGAAAGUGCGGGGCUUAACUCCGUAUUGCCAUGAAAACUGGUUGGCUAGAGUGCAGAAGAGGGUAGUGGAAUUCCAUGUGUAGCGGUAAAAUGCGUAGAUAUAUGGAGGAACACCAGUGGCGAAGGCGGCUACCUGGUCUGUAACUGACGAUGAGGCACGAAAGCGUGGGGAGCAAAUAGGAUUAGAUACCCUAGUAGUCCACGCUGUAAACGAUGAAUACUAAGUGUUGGGGGAACUCAGUGCUGCAGUUAACGCAAUAAGUAUUCCGCCUGGGGAGUAUGCACGCAAGUGUGAA
rnacentral:rRNA from 1 species